rnacentral:lncRNA from 1 species
GGGGGUUUCUAGGAAUUAUAUUUCUAUGUUGGUGUGUGUGUGUAUGGUUCCCAAUUGGAGGCAGCUGAUAAUCGUUACCUCUAAUUGGGGAUCAUACUUAGUGUGUCCUUUUUCCCACCUGCGAUGUGGGAUAUAGUUUUGUGUGAGUGCCUAUGUGGGCUACGUGUUUCACGAUCGUCACAGCUUUGUUGUUUUUGGAAGUUUCACUAUUAUUAAAAUGUGGAACUCUACUCACACUGCGCCUUGGUCUAAUUAUUCAUACGACGGUCGUGACAGCUUGAAUCUUUCCAAAACAUAUUUCACAGGAUAAAUUCUAUGUAACAUUUUAAAUAAAACUUCCUUUACUUUGUUACUGAUACAAUAUUUGUUAGCAAUUUUCCAUGCUUUCCGCCAUUGUAUAUCACCAUAGAUAUCUGCCCAAAAGAAUCUUGCUGAGGGAGAAUCUUGCUGAGGGAAUCAGGGUAUCACAAAUCUUGCUGAGGGAAUCAGGGUAUCACAAACAAUAUUCCUGAUCUGUUUCUUACAUCAUUUAUCUUUGAUGUUAAUAUUGCCAAUUAAUAUAUUUAUGUAACCCCCCCCCUUGGAAUCUCAUCAAAAACACUUGCAUAUUCUUUCGGGGUUAUUGGAAUUUUAAACUUAUCAAGAAAUUCCCCAUAUGAGAGUAGAUAUCCAUCCUUAUUCAGUAACUGACCAACCAAAAUAAUUGUAUUCUCAAACCAGUUAUGAAAAAUACUUAUUUUUAAACCGUAUAUCUUUAUUCCAUAAAAAGUAUCUGUGGGUAAAAAUUGUGUUUAUACUCUAACAUCCAAGCUAAAAUUGCCUGCUUAUGGAAUUUGGCCAACUUUACUGGGAUUUUAUCAAUAUCAAAAUUACAUCAAAGCAAAAAUUCUAAACCAACAAGAGUCAAAUAAAUACUUAUGGAAGACAUUCCAAAUACUGUUCUGGUUCUUAACAUACUUCAGAAUCCAAUUUAUUUUAAAAGUAUUAUUUAGAGUAUUGAAAUCUAAAACCUCAAGACCUCCUUGUUCUUGGGUAUUAGUGAGAAUAUCUUAUCGUAGAUAGUGAGGCUUGUUCCUCCAAAUAAAAUGAUAAAGAAUCUUAUCUAAGUCCUUUACAAUUUUAGGGGGUAAGUCAGCUUUGGAUAACAAAACCCGACCGUAUAACGAAAUAUCUCUCAUCAUCCAGAGUUCAAUUCACUCCUUUGUUUUUCAUACUUGGAUAUAACAACUUCAAGAUAAGUAACCUUAUCUUUAAUUGGGAUACCAUAUACUUCCUGUAAAACA